GUAGGGUGCGAGCGUUAUCCGGAUUUAUUGGGCGUAAAGGGCUCGUAGGCGGUUCGUCGCGUCCGGUGUGAAAGUCCAUCGCCUAACGGUGGAUCUGCGCCGGGUACGGGCGGGCUGGAGUGCGGUAGGGGAGACUGGAAUUCCCGGUGUAACGGUGGAAUGUGUAGAUAUCGGGAAGAACACCAAUGGCGAAGGCAGGUCUCUGGGCCGUCACUGACGCUGAGGAGCGAAAGCGUGGGGAGCGAACAGGAUUAGAUACCCUGGUAGUCCACGCCGUAAACGGUGGAUGCUGGAUGUGGGGCCCUUUCCACGGGUCCCGUGUCGGAGCCAACGCGUUAAGCAUCCCGCCUGGGGAGUACGGCCGCAAGGCUA
rnacentral:rRNA from 1 species